CCUGUAGGGGACUUUUGUCCAUUCGACAUGGCAUACAACCCGAAAAAAAAAAAGGUCCCUGCUCACAACGAGGCAGCAAUCUCACCAGACCCGCUUCCCUCUUCGAGAUUUAGCUGGAGGCUUGCAAUUAUCUGUCAAUUGAUACAAUCCAGAAUAUACGCUCUUUCGUGAAAUGCGUUGUAUCUACGAUCGUCCUGGUGAGCCACAAAAAUGCCGCUUUCGCUAGUAUUGAUCACUGUCAUAUUCUGGGCUGGCUGGCCGGUUUCGCACACCAUUUUCGGGGAUCAUUAGGUUUUGAAAUUUGGCAAUGCCUGCUAGAAAUUCUGAGUGAAGACUUAUUUAUAGUUACUGCAC
rnacentral:sRNA from 1 species